GAAGAGGCAAGAGUGGUUGGAAACUUGUCUCGUGUCGUGUUGUGUUUUAAUAGUGCUUAUCGUUAGUCAAAUACGAGUUAGCCGGCGGCCUAAGUGUAAUUUGUGUGAUUUGCUAGGAAACGGGGGAUCCGUGGCAGCAAGGGUCAACGCCGACACAGCACCCAUUGUUAUAAACCGCUCUUGACCCCACAUUGCGAUUUCGGAGAGUUCCCGGGGCACACGUGGCCGGAAGAGGGUUGCAUUCAGUUUUUCCCGCACCCUAGACAGGCAGACCAUCGCAAUCUCGUUCCAUCGAGUAACAGCCAUCUUGUUCGAGGGCAAUCGAACGCACGUGCCGCGUUCCCGCGUAAGCCCGCGUUUCCCGUGGGGAGGUAUCAUCGAAAACCGAUCGCAUUGGAGAUUCCAUCGGUCCUGGAUCGAAGCAAGACCACCGCUUCGAUACCGCCGCCGAUACACCCACACUCGUCGAGUCGCCGUAAACCCAUGGUAGCGCGUAAGUACUAGGAGAACAUGCAUGUAUUUCUGUUUGUGUCGUCCAUGCGCAUGUGACCUGAAUGGCACAACAGAAACCCGUCUCGAUCGUCAUCAAUGAGACCGUCCUAGUUACUACACACCCACACAUCCACACACACGCAAUCAUCAAUGAACCGUCACCGCAGGAGAGAGAACUAAUUCGUCGUAGCCGAAGAGCGGGUAUCCGGAGAGCAUAAAGGUAGGGAGAUAAAGAAAGUGUACGCUAGACGCAAAUAAAGUUACACGCCGUGAGCGUCUAUGAAAUUGGGAAGGAAGUAGGCCUAGGAAAGCAUGCGAAGAAGGAGGUAAUCGCCGAAUAAAGAAACUUUUUAUGUCGAGCUAGAGGAGCUUUUACUUUGGAGUGCCUAAGGGUAGGCUACCGGUAUUAUGGCGAAUAAAUAAGCAGAACAGU